GAUGAAGAACGUAGCGAAAUGCGAUAAGUGAUGUGAAUUGCAGAAUUCAGUGAAUCAUCGAAUCUUUGAACGCACAUUGCGCCCGCCAGUAUUCUGGCGGGCAUGCCUGUUCGAUCGUCAUUACAACCCUCAGGCCCCCGGGCCUGGCGUUGGGGAUCGGCGGAAGCCCCCUGUGGGCACACGCCGUCCCUCAAAUACAGUGGCGGUCCCGCCGCAGCUUCCAUUGCGUAGUAGCUAACACCUCGCAACUGGAGAGCGGCGCGGCCAUGCCGUAAAACACCCAACUUCUGAAUGUUGACCUCGAAUCAGGUAGGAAUACCCGCUGAACUUAAGCAUAUCAAUAAGCGGAGGA
rnacentral:misc_RNA from 1 species